AUAGACUGGAAUGAUGUUAGAAAACACAAAUAUGGUCACCAAUCAGAGUCUGCAUCCCAAUAUCAAGAAGCUGCUGACAUCCUGGAGCUAGGGUUAUAAAGAAGAUUACAUGAGCUAAUGGAUGUGAAAACAUCUUAAAAACUCUCAAAUACUUUUCAACUUUGGAGGAUUAUUAUGAUUUUCAUUCUGUUCAGCGGCUAUACUCAGACUUUACUCUAAGUCAAAUCUUCUGACAUUCUUUGAAGUGAAGCAUUCUAUGAAUGUGAGCUGAAGAAAUGAAUGAAAUGAAAUAAUGCAGCAUCUAGUGCUUUUUGCAUGGCCCAAAGGGGCUCUGUGCUGCACCACUACAGAGGAAACUUCAAGAAAUGCUGGUUUGCUACAGUGUUUUAGCUUGUGAGAUUCUCUGGGACCUUCCCUGCUCCAUCAUGGGGUCACCUCUAGGUCAUUUUACCUGGGACAAAUACCUAAAAGAAACAUGUUCAGUCCCAGCGCCUGUCCAUUGCUUCAAGCAGUCCUACACACCUCCAAGCAACGAGUUCAAGAUCAGCAUGAAAUUGGAAGCACAGGACCCCAGGAAUACCACAUCCACCUGUAUUGCCACAGUAGUUGGACUGACAGGGGCCCGCCUUCGCCUGCGCCUUGACGGCAGCGACAACAAAAAUGACUUCUGGCGGCUAGUUGACUCAGCUGAAAUCCAGCCUAUUGGGAACUGUGAAAAGAAUGGGGGUAUGCUACAGCCACCUCUGGGAUUUCGGCUGAAUGCAUCUUCUUGGCCCAUGUUUCUUUUGAAGACGCUGAAUGGAGCAGAGAUGGCUCCCAUCAGGAUUUUCCACAAGGAGCCACCAUCGCCUUCCCACAACUUCUUCAAAAUGGGAAUGAAGCUAGAAGCUGUGGACAGGAAGAACCCCCAUUUCAUUUGCCCAGCCACUAUUGGGGAGGUUCGGGGCUCAGAGGUGCUUGUCACUUUUGAUGGGUGGCGAGGGGCCUUUGACUACUGGUGCCGCUUCGACUCCCGGGACAUCUUUCCUGUGGGCUGGUGUUCCUUGACUGGAGACAACCUGCAGCCUCCUGGCACCAAAGUUGUGAUUCCAAAGAAUCCCUAUCCUGCGUCUGAUGUGAAUACUGAGAAGCCCAGCAUCCACAGCAGCACCAAAACUGUCUUGGAACAUCAACCAGGGCAGAGGGGGCGUAAACCAGGAAAGAAGCGGGGCCGGACAUCCAAGACCCCAAUUUCCCAUCCCAUCUCUGCCCCACCCAAGACAGCUGAUUUGAAAUUCCCAAAGAAGAGGGGUCCCAAACCUGGCAGCAAGAGGAAACCUCGGACUUUGCUGAAUCCACCACCCGCCUCACCAACAACCAGCACUCCUGAACCAGAUACCAGCACUGUACCCCAAGACGCUGCCACCAUCCCCAGCUCAGCCAUGCAUGCCCCCACAGUUUGUAUCUACUUGAACAAGAAUGGCAGCACAGGCCCCCACUUAGAUAAGAAGAAGGUCCAGCAACUCCCUGACCAUUUUGGACCAGCCCGUGCCUCUGUGGUGUUGCAGCAGGCUGUCCAGGCCUGUAUCGACUGUGCAUAUCACCAAAAAACUGUCUUCAGCUUCCUCAAGCAGGGCCAUGGUGGUGAGGUUAUCUCAGCCGUGUUUGACCGGGAACAGCAUACCCUCAACCUCCCAGCAGUCAACAGCAUCACCUACGUCCUCCGCUUCCUGGAGAAACUCUGCCACAACCUUCGUAGUGACAAUCUGUUUGGCAACCAGCCCUUUACACAGACUCAUUUGUCACUCACUGCCACAGAGUACAGCCACAGCCACGACAGGUACCUACCAGGUGAAACCUUUAUCCUGGGGAAUAGUCUGUCCCGGUCCUUGGAACCACACUCAGAUUCAAUGGACUCUGCCUCGAAUACCACCAACGUUGUCAGCACCUCCCAAAGGCACUGGCCCUUGCUUCCAUCCUGUGGCCUCCCAACUAGCACUGCCUCAGCUGUGCGCAGGCUAUGCUCCAGGGAAUGUUCCUCAUGUGCAAACUGGAGAUGGUGACACCAACCUGGUCUUUCCACAGGAGUGUUAAAAGGAUCAAAUGAAAGAAGGGAUAUGGAAUCAUUUUGGAAACUAAAUCGUUCCCCAGGGUCGGACCGAUUCCUGGAGAGCCGGGAUGCCUCUCGACUGAGUGGCCGGGACCCCUCCUCAUGGACAGUCGAGGACGUGAUGCAGUUUGUCCGGGAAGCUGAUCCUCAGCUUGGACCCCAUGCUGACCUCUUUCGAAAACACGAGAUCGAUGGCAAGGCCUUGCUGCUGCUGCGCAGUGACAUGAUGAUGAAGUACAUGGGCCUGAAGCUGGGGCCUGCGCUCAAGCUCUCCUACCACAUUGACCGGCUGAAACAGGGCAAGUUCUAAACCAGGAGAGGCAGCCUAGACAACCAAGGGGUCAGCAGGUGGGGGCAGUCUUCUAGGAAUGAGGGGUAUCAGCCUACCCCAGGCACUUCAUUGGGGUUCCAGUGCACCUCAGGACUCCAAGAGGCUGUGUGGAGCCACCACUCCUAGCCGCAGCUGCCAUGAUAUGUCCUUCCAUGAAGGACCACAGUGUGGGGCCCAGGGCUGGUGCUGCUCUUCCCUCCCCUCAGCUCUGCCGGGGCUCCAAGUUCCCCUCUAUUUAUUUCUUAAGCCUGGCUGGCCUGUCACCAGUUUAGACUGAAUGCCUUCCAAGUGAUGGAGGAAAAGGCCAGCUCUGCCCUGGUCUUGGUGUGGCACCCCAUCACCCCACAGCUCCUACUUUCUCACCAGAUUACCCUGAAUCCAAACUCAUGGUGCAAACCUCUGCCUUUUUUUUAAAAAAGAUCCUAUUGUUAAUUUAUUGUUUCUGGCACUUGGGCAAACCCUUUAAAUUACUCUUCCCACACUAGACACUGGGUUUCAGGAGGAGGGAGACUGUCCUGCCCUGGUCCCAGAGAGGCUGUCUCCAGAUAGGUGUGGCCCCUCUUCAGAGGACACUAUGCUAGGGCAUUUUCUCUUUGAAGUGGAGAGACCCAUAAAGCCUUGACCACAUCACUCCAUAUGGGAAGGAGAAGGGUCCCUGUCCUCUUCUCUUCUCUUCAUGGGGCCCUUUUGCAGCCCCAGGCCUCAUCUGUGGGAAGAGAGUCCCUGCCCAUACUGCCCCCACCACAGCUCUUUGCCCUGGCCAGAACUGCAGUUGAAGAUCAGGCUGGAUGAUCUUAGGCCAAGAAGGCCCUAAGGUGGAUAGGAGGGCAGGUUUUCCAGGCUGGAGACAGUUUCACUCACUCUGCUGUCCAUAUGCUUCCUUGUAAGCAAGUCAGCAGCACAGCUACUCACGCUGCCAUCUGGACUUAUUUUAUGUCAAUCUGUUUAUAAAUAAAAACCAAUAUAGAUACCA